GAAAUAUAGCGACUGUGGCUUCCCAGGUGGCGCUAGUGGUAAAGAACGCGCCUGCUAAUGCAGGAGAUAAAAGAGAGAAGAACUUCAGCUUUGGUCUCCUGUGGUCACUCCUGCAUCCCCAGGGCCAGGAAACAAGCCUGAUACACAGCAGUGCCUUCUAUUGCCCAAGGCUAUCUGGAAAUCUGAGGACAAGAGAGCUGAGUGAUGCAAGCCCAGAUCAACCUCCAAGGGCACAGAGGAGGACAGAGAAGACUGGAAACUGAUCUAGGGUUAUAGUGUCCAAUACAACCACCACUAGGCUCAUGCUUAUUUGAGUCCGAAUUGACAUGUACUAUAAAUGUAAACAUACUUUAAAAAUACUUCCUGGAUUUCAAAACCUUGGUAUUCAAAAAGAAGGUGAAGAUCUUAUUAGUUUUUAUACUGAUUACAUGUUGAAGUGAUGAUGUUUUUAUGUAUUGGGUUAAAUCAACUAUAUUAUUACAAUAAAAUUCAUCUGUUUCUUUAUAC
ensembl:lncRNA